rnacentral:rRNA from 1 species
AGCGUCGUGUGGGCAGUGAAGCGUCGGAGUGAUCCAGGCGUGGAGGCCACACGAGUGAGAAUGCAGGCAUGAGUAGCGAAUCACGGGUGAGAAACCCGUGCGCCGAAUGAUCAAGGGUUCCAGGGUCAAGCUAAUCUGCCCUGGGUAAGUCGGGACCUAAGGCGAGGCCGACAGGCGUAGUCGAUGGACAACGGGUUGAUAUUCCCGUACCGGCG